UGACAAACCGGAGGAAGGUGGGGAUGACGUCAAAUCAUCAUGCCCCUUAUGACCUGGGCUACACACGUGCUACAAUGGGCAGAACAAAGGGCAGCGAAGCCGCGAGGCUAAGCCAAUCCCACAAAUCUGUUCUCAGUUCGGAUCGCAGUCUGCAACUCGACUGCGUGAAGCUGGAAUCGCUAGUAAUCGCGGAUCAGCAUGCCGCGGUGAAUACGUUCCCGGGCCUUGUACACACCGCCCGUCACACCACGAGAGUUUGUAACACCCGAAGUCGGUGAGGUAACCUUUUGGAGCCAGCCGCCGAAAGGUUGGACCAAGAGGUGGU
rnacentral:rRNA from 1 species